rnacentral:rRNA from 1 species
GACGAACCGUCCUAACGUUGUUCGGAAUCACUGGGCUUAAAGCGCACGUAGGCGGUCAGUCAAGUCGGGUGUGAAAGCCCUGGGCUCAACCUGGGAAUUGCAUUCGAGACUAUCUGACUCGAGUAUGGGGAGAGGGAAGCGGAAUUUCCGGUGUAGCGGUGAAAUGCGUAGAUAUCGGAAGGAACACCAGUGGCGAAGGGCGGCUUC